rnacentral:rRNA from 1 species
GCGUUGUCCGGAAUCAUUGGGCGUAAAGAGCGUGUAGGCGGCUCGGUAAGUCCGCUGUGAAAACCCGGGGCUCAACCCCGGGCGUGCAGUGGAUACUGCCGGGCUAGAGGACGGCAGAGGCGAGUGGAAUUCCCGGUGUAGCGGUGAAAUGCGCAGAUAUCGGGAGGAACACCAGUAGCGAAGGCGGCUCGCUGGGCCGUUCCUGACGCUGAGACGCGAAAGCUAG